GCGGCGAUAGCUUGCGACUCGGCGAAAUCUAAACGGCAGCUAGAAGCGGAGCUAGGGCAACAAGGUCGGCGCGAAGGGUGUCUCGGUCCUUUAUAGGGGCUCGGCAGUCGAUUUUAGGCAAGAAAUCCCGGACACUUGGGAUUGGCGGCGUUAACCCCGUGUCCUGCUCGGGCACGACUCGAGGAAGAAGAUGGAAGGGAACCAGUGUCGCUGACAUGCGGGUCCGAGCUGGCAGCGACUCAGUGGCGCGGGCCCGGUUGGUCAGCCAAGGGGGAGAGGCGCGCUGGGCUGGGGAAUUGGGCCGCGGUUGCUGGGCCGACUGGAGAGAGGAGGGGGGAAUACUGGGCCGAAAGGGAAAAAGGGGGAGGGGAAGGAGUGAUGGGCUCAGGUCAGAGAGAUGGAGAGGGAGAGGUUUGUUUUUUUUUAUUUUCUUUUCCUUUCUUUUAUUCCAAAACCAUUUUCAAAUCUAUUUUAAAAAUCACUUUUGAAAUAUUUUUGAACUUUAGCCAAAAACCACUCAUGUCAAUAAAAUUAAUGCACAAGCAUGAAUGCACAACAAGUUCCUAAGCCCUAUGGUAAAUUUUAUUUUAAGAAAAAUAUUAUUUUCCUAUGUUUCAUGGGCACAAAAACAACAAAAUUAAAUUAUUUUUCCUCUAUUUAAAAUUUGUAAAUUUUUGGGUGUUACAAAUCUACCCCCCUUAAAAUGAAUCCCGUCCUCGAGAUUCAGAAGAGGCACAGAUUCAAAAAGAGAAACAAGAACAAGAUAUUGAUCAUUAUUUCAACUUGACAACUUGUAUUCCAAAUGCAAGCACUUAUGUUUCUGGAUUACAACUUGUGAACAAAACUUCCAUAAGAUGUCUAUUAUUCGUAAUUGCUCACUGUCCAUCUUGACUACCAACUUUUCCACUUAUACAACUCAAAGACAUGAUACCUCGGCAUGGAUAUGCCUCCUCAGGUAGGAGUGGACCACCUUGAUACUCAAUUCUUUUCCCUGACGGUGCGGUUAAGAAAAUUUUCCACUGGGUAGCAUAGAUCACUGCCUUGUGUGCACAUAACCAUCCAUUGCCAAGAACCAAAGGAAUGUUGAGUGACUCUAGCACAAUGAGAUUUACAGUGAAGUUUUCCUUCUUUAUGACAAGAUUGAUAUUUGAGCAAACCUGAUCUGCCCUUAUUUCUCCCAUUGGGGUUUGAACUAACAAAGGCUUUCUCGUCGGACACUUCACCCGUUCGAUUGUCUUUACCAAGUCGGCGGAUAUGAAAGAAUGCGAAGCACUUCGGUCAAACAGAGCAAAAACUAGUACUGAGUCCACUUGAAUAUAGCUUCCCACCACUUUGGUGGCUCCUUGAAUGUUAUGCCUAUCCACAUUGUUCAGUCUUCCAUUGAUAUAAUUUGGCUGUACUUUAUUUCCAGGAGCGGGCUUCUUACGAGCUUUCCUUUUUCGCUUCCGUCGUUGUGGAUUUUGAUUCGAUUCAUUGUCAACUUGCUCUUCCAUAUUAUUAUUUUGAUAAUACUCAGCUUUGUCAUACUCAUAGCAUCUUUCUUCAAAGGCAAGAUGAUCAUAAUCUACCCACCUAUCCAUGAGAGGCGUCAUAUUGUGCUCCGGAUUCAUGGGACACUACACUCCCUGUCAUCAAGUGACCAACGUCAGUAACACGGUAAGGAUAGAUGAUCAUAACCAUAGAAUAUCUUAGAAGACAAUUAUCACUCCAAGCUAGUCUUAAAAUGCAUCACCCGUGAUAUCAAGGUACUACCCCCCUUAAAAUUAGAUUGAUUGGGGAGACAUUAGGGACUAGUCCUCAUAACCUUUUUCAAUGCUACACAUCAUAUAGUCUUUUAAAUUCGCUGUACUGAGUCUCUUGAUCCAAGGUUAGUUUCAUCACUAAGUUCCAAUUAUCGGUACCUUAGUCAUGGUUAAGUUGUUUCACUCUCAUACUGUACAUAUAACUUCGUAAUCUUUGGUGUCAUCUGAUCCUCAUAACCAUAACCCUCAAUCCAUGAGUAUCAGCAAUGACAUAUAUCUCCUUUAAUAUUCUCUGAAUGGGAUGAUAUCCUGAAUCAAAACCAAUUUACCAAGCGCUUGUGAUCCUCACUUAGGAUCCAACACUAGCCAAUCCGUCUCAUUGUAACUCCUUUAAUUGGGCUACCCCCCUUAAAAGGGUCAACCAGGGGACACAAGAAAGUUAGCUUGCAUGUUUUCCAGACAAGUUAACUAACAUUGAGAACUUAUGACAUCCCAAAGAGCUUCUGUGCAAGAGAACAAACAUGUAUCCUGAAAUUUAUCAUGAUAUAGAAACUCCAACGUAGUAAAAUAUGUAUAACUCUUAUUCUGUUAAUCCAAUAGAGUUGUAGAUUAUACCGUUAGAAAACAUAUGAAAUUACCUACAACUUUUAUAUAGAAGACCUCCUUAGGUUCUGUCUUUGAGAUUAGGUAAAACAGCCAAACUUAAUAUCCAUCCUGACAAUGUCUUAGCAAGGGUGCAGUAACUUCCAGAAGUUAUAUCUAGAGCUCCUUAACUCAUCUGGAGAUGAUCCUUACAUUUUUGAAAAGCUUAGGAAAUCCUCUACAACUUUCGUAUACAAUUGUUUCCCAGAUUCUGUCUUUAACUUGGCUGAAAAUAGGAAAUACCAGAUCUGUCCAGAUCUUGAAACAGAACAGAAACAUCCAACUGUAAAUAUCAUAUCUCGGGUUCUACUUAUCCAAAUAAGUUCUAGUUUAUACCGUUGGAAAGCUUAGCAAAUUUUCUACAACUUUUCUAUAGAAAACUUUUCCAAAUUCUAUAGCUAUAUUUGUCUAAAACAGUAGGCAACCAAAACUGGUCCAGAUUCCUGACAGCACAUUUGUAUCAUCUUGUGAUUUUUGUAACUUCUAACCCAUAACAGAUAUGAGGGUGAUUCUUGUGGUAAGAGAAAGAUCUUGAAGUCUAGUUGUUCCCAGAAAAAGUUGAGAAACUUUGCACGAUCAGAACUUGAGGUACAACAAGGUUAUUGCAGACUGCUCCAGAAAACAACAAGGGAUAGAAACGUGGUAUAACCAAACCCAACUACUUAUUUCACUACUCCUUAUGCCUUAGGCCUAUAAACUAAAUGAUAUUGUGGAGCAAACCCACAAGAUCAUUGCACUCAUUACAAAGAUCCAAAUCAAGCAUAAACAUAAUAACAAACCAAUUAAGCACGCUUCACUCAAUUUGCGAUACUAUCGUUCUCUUCAUAGUAAGGGUAGAUAUCUUAAGACACCUAUCCCAACGAUGCCAGAAGGUGGUAAGAAAAAGUUCUAAAAGCAUAUCAAGCAAGGAGUGGGGAUGAGAACAAGUACUUUUAAAGUAAGCAACAAGGUAGAGACAAAUAGCAAGGAUAGGGAUAUAGUAUAGAUGAAUAUACCAAGGUUUGUAGAGCAAGGAUUUUAUGACGAUUCCAAAACCUUAAGACGACCAAUUUCUAACUAGGCUUGCGUCCUACAGUCAGCAUUGCUCUGAUACCACUUUGUAAUACCCGAUUUUAAAUAUAAAACCAGAUAUGCACCAUAAGUGAGUUUUAGAAGACAAACCUCACAUAUAGCUACAAAUAAGGGGUAAUAUCAAAGGACAAUGCAUAAAUAUAUAACGUACUUAGUAUAAAAGAUAUAACCUUUGAUAACAAACAGCGGAUAGACAACUCCAAACUUCGGGUAUUAACUUCUCUCUACAGGAUCCAUCUGACUGGUUGAUCACAAGCCUAACACUCUUCCUGGAUAUGGGGGAAAUAGCAAGAGUGAGUCCAUGUCGAACUCCACAAGUAUAGCAACUAGAUUGUAUAGCUCCCACAAUCUCAUGAUCAAUGUGACAUAAAUAAUGUAAAGAAUUAAACAAUAAACAAUGAGCAUAUUUAACACACAAGAAUCAUCACCCUUAAUGUAGAUGUCCCCAAGGCCGCUCCUGACCGUGAGCUUGGCUAGUAUACUAGUUUUUAACCCUCUGCAGAAGUUGCACAUCUUUACCCAUGAGUCAUGAUUUACCCUUUCGCCCGAGGUAGCUAGUCUCUUAACCCCCUUCCUAGGGAGGUCGGCAGGGAUCACUAUGAAGUCUUUCAAAGGUUCGUCUAACAAGUUAGGGCCGCUUGGUUUCAUUAAUCAGUCGAUGUGAUUCACCCGCAGGAAUCCACGGUCUGCUAUUCCCCAAUUGCGCCACAACGGGUAACCGCUAACGAGCUAGAAAAGUUACUCAUACUAAACUAAAGCCAGAGCCAUUAUAGCCCUCAUGGUUGCACUGUUGUCCCGGGUGAUCACGUACAGACAAAUCAUCAAGUUGCUAAAAAGUCAUUUUUAUCCUUUAUUACUUAACAUUAAUCUAGCCACAGGAUCAUGGUCACAGAAAUAAAAUCCAAAUGCUAUACUUGCCUUAAUCCAAUUGCUCUUGCUGAUCCUUUUGGUUUUGCUGGUCUCACUUGUUGCCAAAGCUUUGAUCUUGAUCACCGAAACUGCUCUCCGACUAAACUCGAUCAUCGAUCACCAACACACAAACAAUCGGAGACAAACAUACACAAAGCAAACAAGGCAACAAUUAGAACAGUACACCAAGCAUAUGAAAACAGUAUGAAAAGUUUAUAAAAUGAUUCUACGCAGCGCUACGAUUUCAUAGACGUAAAGAUCGCGAAAAUCGGAAUUGAAACGGAAAAAAUAUGGAUUUUUUAAGAUUUUAUAUAGAAAAGUAAUUAAUUAAAUAGGGUCACGAAAUUAAAAAGUUUCAAACUGAGUAAACAAUUUUACUAACAUGUAGAGCUCAUUACUACGAAUCCAACGCAAUUUGAAUGGACAAAAACGGAGUUAAAAUGAAUAUUUUAUAGCCAAAACAAACUCAGUGGCAAUUUUGUGAAUACCAGCAAGCGUAUUUGAAACAAACCGAACUGAUUUAUGUUUUCAAAACUGAAAGGCGUAUUCUUAAAAUGUGCUUUGGGCUGCGGGUUAAGUACGACAUCUUUCAGGGACUCUUUAGAAAAUGUUACCCCGAAGGGGUAUGUUCUAAUCUGGUGCCUUGGUUGUAGAUCGAACGGCUCAGGAUCAAUCCACGGAGGGAAGAGGAGAUGCUGGCCGGCUACAGAGCUCUGGCCGGUGGCGCCAUGGCCGGAUUUCGGCCGGAACAUCGCCGGAGUCGGGUGAGAAGGCGCUAGGAGCCACGGUUUUCAAUGGGAAAGGAACCAGAGCGUAGAGGACCUUCGUGCGAACUCACCUAGACGAUUAUUGCGGGCAGAGGGAGCUCGGGCUGGUCCGGCGUCGAGAUGGGGCGGCAGCGAGCUUCUGCGAAAGUUCGGCGAAGAAUUAAGAGCAAUAUAUCGCGCUAGAGAGGGAAAGGAAGGGAUGGGUAGCUUCGUUACCUCCGCACAACGCUCGGCAAGGCUUCAAUUUCACCGGAACAGCUGCGAAACGCGAUAUCCACGGCGGCGGCGAUAGCUUGCGGCUCGGCGAAAUCUAAACGGCAGCUAGAAGCGGAGCUAGGGCAACAAGGUCGGCGCGGAGGGAGUCUCGGUCCUUUAUAGGGGCUCGGCAGUCGAUUUUAGGCAAGAAAUCCCGGACACUUGGGAUUGGCGGCGUUAACCCCGUGUCCUGCUCGGGCACGACUCGAGGAAGAAGAUGGAAGGGAACCAGUGUCGCUGACAUGCGGGUCCGAGCUGGCAGCGACUCAGUGGCGCGGGCCCGGUUGGUCAGCCAAGGGGGAGAGGCGCGCUGGGCUGGGGAAUUGGGCCGCGGUUGCUGGGCCGACUGGAGAGAGGAGGGGGGGAAUACUGGGCCGAAAGGGAAAAAGGGGGAGGGGAAGGAGUGAUGGGCCUCAGGUCAGAGAGAUGGAGAGGGAGAGGUUUGUUUUUUUUUAUUUUCUUUUCCUUUCUUUUAUUCCAAACCCAUUUUCAAAUAUAUUUUAAAAAUCACUUUUGAAAUAUUUUUGAACUUUAGCCAAAAACCACUCAUGUCAAUAAAAUUAAUGCACAAGCAUGAAUGCAGAACAAGUUCCUAAGCCCUAUGAUAAAUUUUAUUUUAAGAAAAAUAUUAUUUUCCUAUGUUUCAUGGGCACAAAAACAACAAAAUUAAAUUAUUUUUCCUCUAUUUAAAAUUUGUAAAUUUUUGGGUGUUACAAAUCUACCCCCCUUAAAAUGAAUCUCGUCCUCGAGAUUCGGAAGAGGCAC
rnacentral:lncRNA from 1 species